UGUGUUGCUCAUCCUCUUCCCUCUUCUCGGCGGGCGUCUGACGUUCGGACCGUGGCUGCAUCGAUGCAAAAAUGGGUUGUGGGAAUUCGUCGGCCGCCAGCACCUCAGGAGGGGGGCCAGCUGAAGCCUCCAAGGAUGUAAGAUCCCUUGGCAGAUGAUGAGAAAAGAAGGAAUUAUGGUGGAGUGUACGUGGGUCUCCCUGCAGACCUGAACGCCGUGGCUGCCAGUCAGUCCAAGACUGUCAGAAAAGACUAGCAGGCAUUGACGUGGACAUCAUGACAGGAUGCCCUCUUAUGGACGACACCUUGGACGUCCUCGCUGACACCACUCUCAGCCUUCGCUUUUGUCAAGAUAUGGACGUCUUUCCAGGUCUCCGAAGAAUUCUGGACUCAUGGGAGACGUAGAGAUUCUGAGUGGAUCCAUUAGAAACCUUUGAACUUGCAUAACAGAAAAUAUGGCUGCAGCGGGCAGCGUUGUGUUGUGACGGCCAAUUUGGCUCAUCAGUCGCUGUGCUGAAAUGUCUUUGUCGAGGGAUGCGUCUACUUUUUUUUACUGUAAGUCGGACCGCAUUAGUGACACGCUUUGUGGCGACGCAGAAAGACAGAACGUCAAAGAUGUAUCUGGACAUUAGGAACACAUGCACAACAAUAUUUGAUCAAGUUUAUCAUCUCUUGUUGUAUUUUCAUCAUAGUUUUUCAUCAUAAUUACUUAUUAUAUAUACAAUAUAGUAAAUAACAUAACAUAUUUAAUUUUUUAAAUUAUAUUCCUCGAUGACUGGCUGAAAAAAAAAUCACAUUUUAAUCCUGUGUACAGACCCCUAAUUAGCAAAGAAAACCACAAAAGAGAAAAGUUAAUUUUACUAAAGCACAGAAUGAUUCUACAGAAAUGUCACAGAAAGAUUGAAAAAUGUUUCACAAUUGAGUGCAUGUCACACCGAGGCCUUCAGUGAUGUCCUAUUUGGUCAGACUUGAAUAAAUACCUCUCAUAAAACCUUAUUUAUGUCAACACAUUACCACGGCUGGAGGAAUACUAUACAGAAAUGCACUACUGGGCUUUGAAUCAUCUCAAUAGUGUACAUGAAUCAUCUCAAUAGUGUACAUGAAUCAUCUCAAUAGUGUACAAAACGGGCUAUUUUAUAUAAUUUUAAAAAAACACGUCGCCAAUUAAAACAUAUCUAUGCGGUACUGUCAAUAUUUAAAUCAUUGGAAAAAAUAAAAUAAAAUAAUAUUUGAACUAACAAUUUGCGGCACCAAUUGGAAACCGUAAGCCAGUGGUUGAUUCGAUUGGAUGUGGUACGUGGUAUCAAACCGUUUUUCCGGCUGGGACAGGUUAGCAAGCUCUGGGGUUGGCAGACCUUCUUGAAAAUGGCCUUGCAAAUAUACAGUAUAUCUGCAACUUGAACACCAUUUUGCUCUCCUUCGUUGUGGGUUAAAAAAGCGAGUAGAUAUCAGAUUUUUCUGCUAGCCGGGUAUGGUUCCGGUGCGGCACUUCCUGCUUUCGCAACUCAUAACCUGUGAUUGGAUACUCACUUGUGUGAGUAACAAGUACCAUAUUUUCCGGUCUAAAGGGCGCACUUAAAAUGAUUUUUUCCCCUCAAAACUCGACGGUGCGCCUUAUAACCCGGUGCGCCUAAUGUAAGGAAUACGUUUGCUUGAGCUUACCCACCUCGAAGCAAUUUUAUGUGGUACAUGGUGUAAUGAUAAGUGUGACCAGUAGAUGGUAGUCAAACCUAAGAGAUAAGUGCAGGCUGCACCGUUUGAUGUGCUUCAACAGACAAGUAUUAUUAUGGUGUGUGUAUAAAGUAAAACAUAUUAUCUGGGGUUUUGUUUCGCAAUAUUAUGCAAAAGCAACUUUUCUUACCUUCUGGUACCUGCUGGUCUGUAUUUGGGAUCAGCAUAAAUCCUGAAAAAUUGCGCGCGUCCGCCUUUGUAGUCCGUGUCAACAACAUAGUCGCUAAGCUUCUUCUUUUUCUCUAUCUUCUUGUUAUGUGGCAUUCAUUCUCUGCUGUUGCCAUUUCUAAUAUAAAGUAGUGUAAAGUUCUUACUUAUAUCUGUCAGUAAACUCGCCAUGAAAGCGCUAAAACAUACUGGUUUAGUGAGUUUACAUUAUUCACCCAAGGAACUUUAGAGUUCCGGUCGGACGUUUUUUCAAGAGACACAUUUCCGGUGUUGUUGUUUCCGGAUGAGAAAAUUAAAAAUAAACCAUUCAUCGGCAGUGCGCCUUAUAAUCCGGUGCGCCUUAUGGUCCGGAAAAUACGGUAAGUAUCCAAACACAGGAGGCGGUAAAAUCACGUUCAACAUUUCAACACCAAGCAACCUAGAAGGGCUACUGUCAACAACUCAAACGCUGAUUUGCUAUCGCAACUGUCUUUCAACUGUAUGUGCAUAGACCGCCGCGUUGUUGAUUCAGAAGGCCUCGGCAGAUUUCAAUCAGCACUGGCAACAAGCCAGCUAAAUUCUGAUUAAAUAAAAGCUCUAACAUAAAAACAGCAACACUGGAGCCUAAUAUGACAUGAACAGAAAAUGAUGAAUACUUUUGUAUAUUUAGGGAAAAUAAAUUAAAUUAACUUAUCAAUUUAUGAUUAUAAUUUAUGUCAGGCCAGCAGGAAAGGCAAAUGUUGUCAUUUUCUUUGUUGUCAGUCACAUUUAUGGCGUGUGAUACGGCAAUGGCGUCUAACAUACUGUAAGGCAGAUGCUGAGAAAAUAACUAGUGAACUUAGAGGAGCCUAUCUUUAAAUAAUCACCUUUUUAGGUACGUGGGUAUUGUUUUGAGUGCUAUUUAUUUGGAAAUCAGAAAAAAAUUGCUUGAUUCAUAACUGUAUACAAAUAUGGCACAUUUAUCAGUUUUUGUCGUUUUGAAUCACAAUGGAAGUAUUACGGUGCUCCAAAAUGCUAUUGUUAGCAUUUUUCCUAUUGCCCCCAUUUACUACAAAGUAGCAUGCUAGCAAUGCUACCGAGCAGACCUAAAAUGGCACGCCUCAAUUUUUUUUGCAAGAAGUUUAUUUUGCCUUUUUCGCAGUCUGAGUCACAAUGAAAUUGCUGUACCUGCUCCGUAAUAAAAAAAAUGGUCUUAUUCCAUCGUCUCAUGUCAUCCCGUGCAACCCAGGAAGUUGUCUGUUAACAAAGUAACGGACAAACAAUUAAAUAUCUAAUGCUUCUUGUCUGCACGAAUUGUAACAGACAUAUGUCUUUAGUUUGUCUAAUUAAGUUAGAAGACGGUUUUUACACCAGCCCUGAAGAAAAAAAAUGGUACGGACCUAUCGUCUUGUGUCGUUCUCCACGCACCAGGAAGUGGCCUGGUAUGCUAACUAAACUUAAAAAAACUAAGAAAUAUGUUAAAAAAUGUUUUUUUCUAAUUUAGUUUGAGUAACAAAGAAACCUCAAACUAUAAAGCACCUAAAUGCAAAAGGAAGAGUCCUGUCCAUCCAUUCAUUCAAUGUCAUGUUCUCUACGAAGCAGGAAUUAGCGCGUUAAUGGUGUUGUUUCAUUUGUACUGGGAAGUCGGAAUUUCCGAGUUCCUAGUUGGAAUUUCAACUGGAACGUACCUCGAGUUGGUUUCAAAGAUGGCUGCUCUGGAUGUCCGCUUCUGUAACAUCUAUUGUUUGCGCUUCUGAUUAGUUUUCGUCGCCGUAAAUCAGCCAUAUACGUAGGGAUGAUACUCGAAACCGGUUUUCCCGGUUGUUUGAUAAGAAAAGAACCGAGUCCUCGGACUCGAAUACCUUUUUGAGAACCGGUACCCGUUAUCGAGACCACUAUAGUAAAGAAAAAGAGUGGAAUCCCGUCCCGACCAGAAAUGCUCCGUGGGACAUCACAAGAAAUGACGUCAUGUAGCUCAGUCAUUAGGCGCAGAUAGGGAAAGCAGGAAAACAAUGGACGGGAAAAAGCGCUCCAAGGUGUAAUAAAGUUCGAAACAAAAGGUAUAAUCCAACGAAUAACUUUACUGAGAGAUUUUAGCAGGGUAAAAACAAAUGACGAACACUUUUACGACCAACCGGAAACAUAGAAACCAGGCUAGCAACGCACCUCCUUUACGGCAGCUGUCGCAACGUUCUUAAUGCAACCGCAGCACAUACAUAUAUAUACAACAUAUCUCCCUUUUUUAACUUUUGUUUUUCUUUCCUUGUAAACAAAACAAAAUCACACUGUAUAUGUGUUGUCUGUCUAAUUAUAAAUAAUGCAGACGAGGCGUGUUGGCUGAGUUCUUGACGUUUACUUUCACAGCGUGGCAACAUGCAACACUUUUCGGGGUGUCCGCGCAUGCUCGUAACUCCCGUUGCAUGCUGGGUAGUGUAGUCGUUAUAUUCUCUAGCUCAUAACAUCUU